CGACCGUGGGCGCAGUGUUUAGUGGGAUGUUUUUGUUUGAGCACUUCUGCGAACCUCACAUUAUUGGUGAAAAAUGAGAAAUAUUUGUUCUGGGAUGAUUGCAGCAAUAACGCACGGUGGAAAAUUGGUAGCUGUGCAUUAGAGCAGAAGCAACCGCUGCUGCAUAAUGAGAUGGAAAUUGCAUUCUCAAUGAGACUUGCAUUCAUUUGGCAGAAUCCAACACAUCCAAAGUUAAUAGUAACAAAUAGCAAACAAAUCUCUGUGCGUCAUAACUGUGCUGACCACCGUCUGACCAGAGCCUCUGACCUAGGGAUGAGAAUCCAGCACAGUGUGUGUUCUGUCUGAGGAUAUGAGGAUAACCCCUCUCCCCACUGCCUUGCUCAGUGACCCCUUGCACACAAGUUCUUUUUUCUGUACACAGAAAACACACACCGGAGGGGAACGUUGCAAUUUUGCCAGAGUAUUUAUUCAAAGUGAUCUCUGGGGUUUCACACCAACUGUCGUUAGGACAACUUUCACACAUCUUCAUCUGUUGUGUCUGUGGAUAUUCAUCAUGGUGGCACUGCGUGUCUCGUCACUGCUGGUCUUACUGGUCAUAUUAUGUCCACUCUACCAUGGCUAUCCAUCGGUAUAACUAUGUGGUGGCGACCUCAUAGAUGCCCUGCAAUUUGUUUGUGAAGAAAAAGGCUUCCAUUUUCCAAGAUUAUCAAGUCCAGUUCGCCCACAGUCGAGCCAACCAGUACAAGCGGGCACUGAGGAGAACAAUGCCACUGCUCCUGCAUCUAAGACUGAAAUAAGGUCAAACCGUCGUGCAUCUCCUGAGCCAUGGGGCUGUUUUAAAACCCGCACCUUGAAUGACCUUUUGCAAUUUUGCAACCAAGACUGACCAAAACCAUCAACAAAGUUGUUCCACUGGAUGUAAAAUGAGUUCUAGAGAAAACACUAAACAUUCUACAUGUGCUUCAAAAUGAGGUAGGAUUAUAUUAGUAAUGUUUAAAGCAUAAAUAAAAUAAAUCUGUUAUUAAUUCAUUUAUUCAAACCAUAUGUUUUUAACUGCCUGUUCGUAUGAUUUAUUUUGUUUCAUUACUGUCACCCAAUGGUAAUUUGAAUAACUCGGUUUUAGCUAUAGUACCAUGUCUCCUAGUGCCAUGUAAUGAACUCAUCAAUAUCAGUGUUUGUUACUCUCAACAAGGUUUUGUGAUUUUUUUAUUUAGCCUUUUUUAAAACUCAAAUAAAG